GCAUCCUGUCCCCCGAGAGCCUCGGUACCACGCCCGGGGCGCCUCACACCAAUGUGCUCAACACACAGUUGCUGAGCACAAACAUGCCUUUGCGUGAUCCAUUGAGCUGCCCUGGAGUGUUGCUUCCUCUUCCGUAAAGUGAAAUCAUUGGACCGAAAGUUUUCUAAGGCAAUCCCAACCUUUCUCCGAGGAGAGGACCGAAGCCCAGAGACAGAGCGUACCGACACUUCACUGGACUCCUGGACUUCCGCAAAGACGGUCUCGUCCGUGGGCGAUUGUCAAAAUCUGUGUUCCUUGCGGGGGAAGAAGGUAGAAAGCGCCUAUCCUGCUAGCUUGGUGACGUCACUCUCCAUGCUCUGCCUCUUGAUCCAGGUGUGGUUACCUGAGGGUAUUCAGUUUGUGACAAACCAUCCCGUGUACGCUUACGAUUUGUGCACUCUUCGUCAUUUCCUUACGUUUGAAUAAAAUCUACAUUAAUGGUG